GUAAUUCAUUCAUUCAACGAAGCCCCCUAUUCCUAAAGGAUGUCGUUGAACUAACAACAGUUCCCUAAGUAUACGGGUGGAAAAGAGUGGAGGAGGGGACGAGAUCGGGGGCGAUAGACAAUGGCCCAGUCCAUCUAGUAACAAGACUACUACAACGGGAAGGGACAGUUCGUUGCUUAUAGCAGUGAGAUCUGUAUAUAAUUGACCAGCGACGAUGUGCUCAAAGCUUCCAUGGCUACAGUUAAUUUGGAGAUGGUUGAUUCCAAAUUAGCUGUUGUGCGCUGGGUACACGAACACGAUAUCCUCAAUUAAUACCUAGCAACCCUAAUUGGUUAUGGGGACUCCUCAUCUGUAUGUGCGUGUUUGUCUAAAACCCCAAUCAGUCUCAAAGGAUCAGAGCUUGAUUCUGGUUACUUGACAUUUAGCUUUGACAUAUUUUCAUCACAGUCUGUGUACAACGAACUAAAUCAGGAAGAUAUAGAAGUAUAUAUAACACAGUACAAGGAAAUACCCGUUCUCAAUUCGAACUCAAUGUUAGUAGGUGUAAACCUCGUAAUUCUGUCCGCUACUACACAUAUACAGAGAAGACACGUAGGCCGAAAGAGCAAUGGCUAUUUUAUUAAAAGUUUUAGUAUAAAUUUUGUGAUCGUUUGUGUUUCAUUAAACGCAACAAAAUAACUCAGUACUGCUUAGGAGGAUCAUAUUGAGCCAAAUUUUCUUAGAGAACCCAAUAUCAGUGCUUUAGGCACAAAACCUCGUAGGAAAUAAGAGUAUGUGACAUGGAAAUGGUUACAACUGCGAAUCGAAAUAGUUGUUACCACCAGCAGACAUUCUUAAGAUUCUAGCAAAGAUUAUACAUAUAUAAAAAAAGAGAGAGAGAACUUUUGGUGAGACAACAGUGCAUACAUACAAGAAAUAAAUAGGCCAUGGGAACGUACGAUAUAUAUAUUAAUAUUAUAUUAGAUUAGAUAAUUGUAGACAUAAAUAUACCCUCGUGUAUAAACUUUUUUCGUAAGGUCGUACUAAUCCAGAACUUCAUGUAGCAUAUUCAGUUUUAGAUUCUUCCGCCUCUCAUGGAGCAUCGGGUGACGCGAGAUAUCUUCUAACCUAGCAAGGUUGCAAACCCUCGCUAUGAAUUCCCACCCUGCCUGUCAAUGGAAGGUAUUUUUAAUAUUCCACUCCUACACAAAGUUUAGAGAUGGUGAAACCACUCGUUAAUAAGUAUCAGUAAAUAUUGCACAUUGCGGUUUUCAAAGAAGAGCGCCAUUCUAUCGAUCCAUUCUAUCGAUCCAGCCAACAUCGAUAAACGAUUACUUAGGUCAAUUCAACCAAAUAUCUAUCUAUCUAUCUAUCUUUCUCUCUCUCUUUCUAUAUAUAUAUAUAUAUAUAUAUAUAUAUGUAUGUAUGUAUGUAUAUAUACACCCACGCCUUCUUCCUGGUAGUGCCCCAGUUUGGCCGCAGCCCAAUGACUGAAGCGAAUAACAAGAUGUUGCUUUCUGUAGCGUGGAAAUAAAUAAACGUUAAAUUUUGGGAUCAAGGACGAAAAAUCCAGGAUCAUGUUAAAAGAAGACGAAACGAAAUGUGUUGGACCAAGAUGAUUAAUGCAGCGGUGACUGACUCAAAGUGCUAUAGAUCAGAUUUGCAUCGAACGGAACUUAUUUUCAACCAAAAGGUAAAGUGUAACUAGAGCAAAUCACUUGAAAAUAAGCUUAAAAUGCAUUGAUAAAGCAUUCUCCCUCCUGUUAAAUGAAGGGACUUCACGGACACAACAGAUACUCACCCACAGAGAGAGAGAGAUGACUUGAUUUCGAUUUCCGGUCGAACCAUUUCCGAUCGCUUACGUGUCUCAUGGCCUUGGGACAUGAAUAAACACCUUCAAUAAAACCUUUAUUGUGCCCCGUUGUGAGUGUCACUUAACAUCUGGUCAUGGGGAAAUAUCUUACUUGGAAACAGAUGAGGGUUGGCAAUAGGAAGUGCUUCCAGCUGUAGAAAAUCCACCCUUAAUAAAAAUUUUCUCCAAUCCAUGCAAGCAGGGAGAAGAUGAACACUAAAUGAUGAUGUGUUACAUGCUACCCGCUAAGGCACAAGUCCUGAAUUUUGUGGGGAAUGAGGUGAAGCAGACAGCUGAGAACAUUGAUAUUAGUAUGAUCAAGUUAGAUCUUGAAUGAAUAUCUGGUCUUUGAGUGUAUGGGGCCUGCAGGCUGCUAGAACUGCAAUUUGAACUGAAAACAGUUAUACAGUGUUCUUAAUCCUGUGUCUAUAACUGAAAAUUGUGUAUUUGCCAGGAGGACAACAGUACAGUACCAAUGCAAUGUGAAUCAUAAACCUUUUGUUCAACAGAUCCAGUACCCUAAUGAUCUGUAAAGCCCUAAUUUCUUAUGUUAUGAGGUUGGUGAGAUAAACCUUCCAUUUGGAGAGGAUGCAAGUUUAAGAUCUCUUAUAACAGCUGGAGCAAUAUUGAGUAAAGUACUCCUUCAUGCCACCCUGAAGAGAAUUUGAACUUGUAACCUAUUCACUUGCAACAUCUCACCUCUAACCCUAAUGACUCGGCAAGAUAGAAGACUACGACAGUUACAUUAUCUUUGAUCUUCCACUCAAUAGAAAUAAUCCAAGAUUCAACGACGUGAUUUCACCAGCUGCGAGUCUCUUCAAAGAAAAUAGAUUCUUCAAAUAAAUAUAUAAAUUUA